CUUGCUUCUCUUGAGAGCGGCGGACGGGUGAGUAAUGCCUAGGAAUCUGCCUGGUAGUGGGGGAUAACGUCCGGAAACGGACGCUAAUACCGCAUACGUCCUACGGGAGAAAGCAGGGGACCUUCGGGCCUUGCGCUAUCAGAUGAGCCUAGGUCGGAUUAGCUAGUUGGUGGGGUAAUGGCUCACCAAGGCGACGAUCCGUAACUGGUCUGAGAGGAUGAUCAGUCACACUGGAACUGAGACACGGUCCAGACUCCUACGGGAGGCAGCAGUGGGGAAUAUUGGACAAUGGGCGAAAGCCUGAUCCAGCCAUGCCGCGUGUGUGAAGAAGGUCUUCGGAUUGUAAAGCACUUUAAGUUGGGAGGAAGGGCAGUAAAUUAAUACUUUGCUGUUUUGACGUUUACCGACAGAAUAAGCACCGGCUAACUCUGUGCCAGCAGCCGCGGUAAUACAGAGGGUGCAAGCGUUUAAAUCGGAAUUACUGGGCGUAAAGCGCGCGUAGGUGGGUUCGUUAAAUUGGGAUGUGAAAAUCCCCGGGCU
rnacentral:rRNA from 1 species